rnacentral:lncRNA from 1 species
GUCAGAAUGCACAGAUGCUUUCUUUGAGGUCAGGUCAGGGAAGAAAUGUCUAUUUCCCACCAGCUGUCUCCACAGGUCUCCUGCAAUGGAGACACCUUGCCUGCUAAGCUGUUGGAUCUGUGCCAGGGGAACAUUGAAGAGUGGCCUCUCCAGGUCUCUGUGGACAUUCGUGAUGGUGCCGCCAGCUUUGAGCACUCCACAUAUAUUUCAACAGGCCCUCUAUCCAUCAACUGCUCUGUAAACUACUGGGCCCAUGAGGGCCGUCUGGAGCUAUGGGGCCACAGCCAGCACGACAGUGAGGUCCUGUUGCAGGCCGGGCUCCCGGAUGAGGCCAACCUGCAAGCUGAACUACAGAUACAGGAGACCCAGACUUGGGCCCAUGUGGUCCUCCAUGGCAGGAACAGCAAGGUGAGUGUGGAUGUGACAGCCCUGCUGACUUGGCUGCCAAAUGGCACACUGGAGGCGACAGUGAAUACCAGCCACACGGUGCAUGCUUUCCAGAGACUGGGCCUGCCCUUCAGCAGCCAGGUGAGGGCCCACAGGGCCAGCCCACCACUCUCCAAAUGUGUUACCCCUCAUCCAGUUUCCCCUGUGCAGAGCAGAGGAUUGACAAGCGGUCACCACACUUUGUAGUUUUCAGAGGCUCUUUAAACAAUCAGACAGACAAAUAAGAAACAGUUAAAGCCUGGUCAUGGUGGUGCACGCCUUUAAUCCCAGCACUCGGGAGGCAGAGGUAGGAGGAUCUCAAAUUCAAGGCCAGCCUGGUCUACAGAUCAUGUUCCAGGGCUACAUAGAGAAACCCUGUCUCAGAAAAACAGACAGUUUUAGCCAAGGCCUGUGAAGUAAACUCCUCCGCAGGCCUUGUGUCCUAUGACCAUGUUCUAGCUACUCUCUGCCUGUCCAGUAAUGAAUCAGAGCUGAAGUCCAACUUUGUUUUGCCAAGGAGAUAUGACUCAGUGCUAU